GAUCCAUCUCUCAAUUACAAGUGCCAAGCCUUGUCCUUCACACUGCAACCUCACCAGUGGCACCCCCAGCUUCCAGGAUUAUUCAUUCACAAUGAGAAAGACAAGGGUCUGCCCUGUGGCUGGAGGCAAGGGUGGACCCUCCAAGUGAACUUCAUAUGGUAGGGGUGGUAGGCUAAGCAUCUCUGCUUUCUCACUAACACCUCAGAACUGAGGCAGCAGUAAAAUCAGCUAGGAAACAAGAAAACAGCUUAGUGCUUAGUACAUAGCAAGUUCUCAAAGUUAUUGUUACUGAGCACCAGGACGAUGGACAACAUUAAAUAUGAUCUUAGGUUGGGGUCCACAGAGGUGGACUCAUCUCUCCUGUCUGUGUGCUCCCAUCAGACAAGCAACCUUCCUGCCAAAAUUAAAGCCAUAAUCCCACAAGAUACAUUGUGUUAUGGGCUACAGCCUGGAUCCAACAUCUAGCUUCUGAAAGUUAAAGCAAUCAAUCCCACAGGAAUUUGUGGAAAUUAGAAAUGUGUGUCCUUUCAAACACGUGACUAUAAUAAAAGUAUUAAAAAUAGCUAACCCCGUUCUAGU
rnacentral:lncRNA from 1 species